rnacentral:rRNA from 1 species
UACGUAGGGUGCGAGCGUUGUCCGGAAUUAUUGGGCGUAAAGGGCUCGUAGGCGGUUUGUCGCGUCGGGAGUGAAAACCCAGGGCUUAACCCCAAGCCUGCUUCCGAUACGGGCGGACUAGAGGUAGGCAGGGGAGAACGGAAUUCCUGGUGUAGCGGUGAAAUGCGCAGAUAUCAGGAGGAACACCGGUGGCGAAGGCGGUUCUCUGGGCCUUACCUGACGCUGAGGAGCGAAAGCGUGGGGAGCAAACAGG